GGGUGACCGGAUGCCGAUCUCGAAAACCUGUCCCAGUUCGGACUGGAGUCUGCAACCCGACUCCACGAAGUUGGAUUCGCUAGUAAUCGCGCAUCAGCCAUGGCGCGGUGAAUACGUUCCCGGGCCUUGUACACACCGCCCGUCAAGCCAUGGGAGCCGGGGGCGCCUGAAGUCCGGGACCGCGAGGACCGGCCUAGGGCGAAACUGGUGACUGGGGCUAAGUCGUAACAAGGUACC
rnacentral:rRNA from 1 species